AGCUGAAAGGCUGCCUGGGGUCAGCUCUGACCUGGCUGAGCGCCUCGCACCCCCUGGGGUCAGCUCCGUCUUCCUAGUCCCACCCGCUCCUAUGGCCUCUCUCAAGUUUGUCUAAGCAAAGGCCCCAAAGUUAACCCAGAGUCCUUGGAUAACCGGGGGUAGCCCCUGGAGGCAUGGGGCUGAUCCCAGCGGGCACAAGCUUUAGAGGGCGGAGGUCCACCGCUGGGGGUCUGUGGGCCGGGCUGGGCUGGGGUUUGCUUACCUCAGCGCCCCAGUGACUAUUCCCCAAGCUCCGGGAUGGGAGCCUCCUGACACGCGCUGGAGCUCCCGCCGCUCCCGGAACUGGGAUGUAAACAACGCGGUCUCCACGGCAACCAAAGCUCAGUCUCCAGGGCCGAGGGGGCGGGCUCUGCUGCAGGAAUUUGCGCAUGCGCGCAUCCGAUGCCUUGUCCUGGAGGCGGUGACCUGGCCGUGGAGCUGUAGGUGCUGGUGCUUGGCCAUCUCCAACGGGCACCGCUGGCAGGGCUUCGGCGUGCCUGCUCUGAGACACUCGGGGAACACGGAUCCGGUCAACCAGCCUUGCGAGACUUGCCUGCUCCUGGAUGGUUUCUAGACAGCCAGACCAGAGGCUGAACGUGUUAAAAUGUUUAUCAAACACUCCAGAAACCAGGCCAAAAAAAUCAUAAGGAAGCAAGAAAGAAACUGUGGAAUGGUUUCAAAAUGAUGACAGCCCCACAGUUAAGUUAAGCCCAGAUGCUGCUUGGGACACCCACAUCCCACACUGGAGUGCCUGGGUGCAAGUCCCAGCUCUGCUCCAGUUCCGGCUUUCUGUGAAUGCACAUUUGGGGAGGUCCCUGCAACCCAUUUUGGAGACCUGGACAGCAUCCCAGCCUCUCCUUCCCUCCCUCCCUCCUCCCUUCCUCCCUCUCUCUCUCUCUCACUUACCUAUAUAUCUAUACACAGAUACACUUCUAUCUAUAUAUAGCUAAACCUUUCUGCAUCUCAAAACAAAAUUUAAAAUGAUGCCUGCACACACAAGGUCAUUCAUUGCAGCCUUCUCAAUAGUAGCAAGACGAGGAGCGAUCCAGGUGCCCGUUGGUGGGAUAAGUACGUGGCAGUGCAUCCUUACAGCUGUAAACUGAAGUUCUGAAAGAGUCGAGAAAGCCGUUCUGUACUCAGGUUAAGUGAUGUGCAGAGGAGCAUGCCGAGUGAAAAGCAACCCACAAAGCCAGGU
rnacentral:lncRNA from 1 species